AUUGAACGCUGGCGGCAGGCCUAACACAUGCAAGUCGAGCGGAUGAGGAGAGCUUGCUCUCUGAUUUAGCGGCGGACGGGUGAGUAAUGCCUAGGAAUCUGCCUGGUAGUGGGGGAUAACGUUCCGAAAGGAACGCUAAUACCGCAUACGUCCUACGGGAGAAAGCAGGGGACCUUCGGGCCUUGCGCUAUCAGAUGAGCCUAGGUCGGAUUAGCUAGUUGGUGAGGUAAUGGCUCACCAAGGCGACGAUCCGUAACUGGUCUGAGAGGAUGAUCAGUCACACUGGAACUGAGACACGGUCCAGACUCCUACGGGAGGCAGCAGUGGGGAAUAUUGGACAAUGGGCGAAAGCCUGAUCCAGCCAUGCCGCGUGUGUGAAGAAGGUCUUCGGAUUGUAAAGCACUUUAAGUUGGGAGGAAGGGUUGUAGAUUAAUGCUCUGCAAUUUUGACGUUACCAACAGAAUAAGCACCGGCUAACUUCGUGCCAGCAGCCGCCGUAACAC
rnacentral:rRNA from 1 species